rnacentral:lncRNA from 1 species
GCUGAGGCUUGGCGGCUCCUCCUGCCACCCCCUCACGCCAUCAUGUGAGCCAGGCUGGCCUCCCGGCCGCGCACCGAGCCGGCUGCAGCUCGUUAGCUGUCAGGGCCAGGGUUGGGACGGCCCGGGCACUUUGUUAUUGGAAACUGGGCUCACCCCCGCUGCGCUAGGUGGGUCCCAGGCGCUGGGGCAGCCUCUUCCCCCGGAGCUGCCUUUGCCACCUGGAACUGCUUUCUCGCUCACCGCCUCCCCUCCCCUCCCUCUGCGUAAACCAAUUGUUCUGGAAGCUGAAGGGACCUGGGAUUCUCUUCCUGCACACCUGGGGCUUGCCAGAGCCAACCCUCCUGGAGAGGGAGGCGCUGGGGCUCAGGGAACGGCAACCUCAUUCUUCCAUUUUCUCAGGCCAAACGCUCUGGUGUCCUCUGGGAAGCUCACUUUCUCCAGCACCCAGCUCUGCAACCGUCCAGAAUCCCUCUUCUCCCAUCACCUAAGCAUCCCAGCCCAGCCCCUUCCAGCUUCAUGUCAGAGGCUGUCUUUUUUCUCCUUACAACCUCCCAAUCUACCCCAUCUCAGAAAAGAAUUCAAAGUCCUGCUGUGGCUGGUGUCUCCCGCUUGCUCUUCCACACUGGUCUCCGUGCUGGGGAAGCUCAUUCCCACCCCAGGGCCUUUGCACCAACUGUUCCCUCCACCAGGGAUGCUCUUCCUCCACGCGUCUGUAUCGCUCCCUCCUUCACUUCCCUCAGGUCUCUUCCAAAAUGUUACUUUAACCAAGAGGACUUCCCUGCACCUUUCCCCCACCAUCUGAAUACCACUCCCACCCCAUAAUCACUCCCUCCAACCCCCUACAAAGCUAUGUGUUCCUCCCAUGCACAUCUAGCACUUUCUAGUGGCUAGAAAACUACUUACUAUACAGUCAUUCGUUCACGUGAACAAGUGUUCAUGCUCAUUGUCCCCGGACUUACACACAAGCAAACUCCGCAAGUGAGAUAAAUGUAUUCCCCGCUGGAUCCCAGGGCCUCCAAAGUGCCUGGUGCACACAAUUCCACAAAUAGUCCUUGAAUGAAUGAAUGAGGCAGGACAGGGUUGUUAAAAGAGCUUCCCUUUGGAGUCCGAGCCUUGCUUUGAAACUUCUAGUAGUGCAGCCUGCAUGAGUUACUUAGACUGUCCAAAUUUGAAUCCCACCCCGGUGGACAGUAAUCUGGAGAUGUGUGCUGUGAGGGAAGGGUGGUCUGUAGAUGCUGGCUCCUCCCUCCUCUCCUUGGCACCCCCACCCCAAGGUCACCCAGCACUUUCCAGCAAGAGGUCCAGUGGGGGAAAAGGGCAAAGGUUGUGAGGUGUCAGCCAUGAACUCUAGCCUGAGUUUCUCUGCCUCCGUGUUUUGCCAAAGUCAGCUUUUGUGAUCGUUUCCCUGGAGAGUUUUCUGAGUGGUCCCAGAACCAAAAAGUUUCGCAAGAAUCACACCCAGGGAUGAGGUGGAGACUGCCCAGUUGUCACGUACUGGCUCUUGGCAGGGCGUGGUUUUAGCAUUUGAAGGAGUGUCCUCAGGAACACUAGGUGCUCAUCACAGGGGGAGACAUGCCUGUCUCAGCAACUGGGAAGGAGGAAAUCAAAGAAGGGUAGAUUUGUAAAUCAAAUCAGAGCUGGUGUUUGUGGGGUUGGGGCAUUUUACAUGAAGACCUCUUGGGUAAAGAGACACUUGAGCAGAACCUGUGAGAAGGUGGCCAGGUGUGGUACCUCACUCCUGUAAUCCCAGCACUUUGGGAGACUGAGGCAGGAGGAUCACUUGAAGCCAGGAGUUCAAGACCAGCCUGGGCAACA